rnacentral:rRNA from 1 species
AACGAACGCUGGCGGCAUGCCUAACACAUGCAAGUCGAACGAGACCUUCGGGUCUAGUGGCGCACGGGUGCGUAACGCGUGGGAACCUGCCCUUAGGUUCGGAAUAACUCCCCGAAAGGGGUGGUAAUACCGGAUAAUGUCUUCGGACCAAAGAUUUAUCGCCUUUGGAUGGGCCCGCGUUGGAUUAGCUAGUUGGUAGGGUAAAAGCCUACCAAGGCGACGAUCCAUAGCUGGUCUGAGAGGAUGAUCAGCCACACUGGGACUGAGACACGGCCCAGACUCCUACGGGAGGCAGCAGUGGGGAAUAUUGGACAAUGGGCGAAAGCCUGAUCCAGCAAUGCCGCGUGAGUGAUGAAGGCCUUAGGGUUGUAAAGCUCUUUUACCCGGGAUGAUAAUGACAGUACCGGGAGAAUAAGCUCCGGCUAACUCCGUG